AUAUGUUUAUUUGUUUCUAAUCUGCCUAAUUAAAUCAGCAAUGUGGUAUCUGGUGUCCAUUAAAAAUGUUUGGGUGUUUUUGUUUUGUUUUUUUUUCCAGUGCCUGGCUUUGAAAGCAUUUCAUGGUCAGUGACAAAAAAUGAGGAAGAGGAGGGUGUGGCUGCCACUUAGAGGAUCUGGCCCUGCAGUCGGGCACUCGCUUGUGGAGACGUGGUCCUUUGGCGUGACAAAACAUGGACUUCUUUCAGUGUAUCGGCCUGGAUGUAGUCUCCGUGUAAGGCGUGUGAAAUACACAGCAGAAUUACACUUUUAUCAGCGAAAAAGCUCUUCCUCAUCUGAACCAUCAUUCAAAACGCAGGAUGGAAGUAGUCAAAUAGAAAUUUUCUAUCACAUUGUUUGCAGGACUCCUAGAAGAUUCUUUGGAAACGGGAGUAUCUGUCUCCAGCUGCCCCUAAAAAGAUGAAGCAGGCAAAAUGAACUCAAAACACAGAAAGAGAAGAUAUUUGAGACUAACCUGCGAGGCGUUCAGAUUCACUGAUAACAUGCAAAACAGAUUCUGCUUACCAUUGUCUGCUCCAGAUACGAUGUCAAAGCAAGCAAGGGAAACUUAGAAAGUAGUGUGACUCAAAAAAGAAGUAUUUUGAAAGAAUGACUUACUGGGGAACCAAGUUAGAAGAUGAAAGAAGUGAAGAUUGGUCAUCUGUGCAGAGGAAAUGACAAGGUUUCAUCUCCCCUGGACGCUGGCCUCACCCUGAUUCCUGAGCAUUAGGAUCUGGGAAUCGUCACUUCUGCCAUGGAGAGCUCCGAAAGGCAGCCCAGCACGAGUCCCCUGCUGCUGCUGCUGCUGCUGUCUCAGCCACCCGUGUCACGCCGGCAGCCUUCUUAGACCUGGGCAGAAAGCCCAUCGGGGUGAACGCAACAACUCGCCUGGGAAAUCCCCAUAUCAAUUAUUCUGAAAGCAGUGGCAGAUCACUUCAGUUCUGAGUAUGGGACCUACUGCCUUUGGGGUUGUCGCCAAGCAGUCCAGCUGUCUGGGAAUACAACUUGCGUUUCAUCUGAUCAGAGUCUGACUGUCCUUUGGGGUGAGGUAGUAGGUUGUAUAGUUUUAGGGUUAUGCCCUGCCUGUCAGAUAACUAUACAAUCUACUGUCUUUCCUGAAGUGGCUGUGAUAUCAUCGCUGGAUAUGUCUGCGAAAGACAAAGCAAAUAUUUCUGAACAUUAGCAUUCUCCAGCUCUGUCCACAUGUUGGAUUUGAUUCUUGCAGAAGGGUUAUGAAAGAAAUGUCCUUCUUGUGUUUAGAUCCCUGUAUUCCCAUUCAGCUUCAAAAGCAAUUUCCUUUUUGUCAUUUUCUCAGAGCAAACGGGGUGUAAGUCACAGGGCACGGAGGUACAACCCGGUCUGCAGCAGGGCGUGCUCACGCUCCGCUUUCUCAGACUGCCAUGAGAGGGGCCGUUUGGAAACAGCCAACUCAUUUCUCCAUUACCUUGUGGCAUUUGUGUUCAUUCUCAAUAGAAAAUCCCACUUUUGAUUCAGCAGCUAUUUAAAUCCACUGUGCGCAGGCUGUUUGAGAAACUAUGAAGUGAUGAGUUGGACGGAAAACAAAGAGGGCAUCUUCCAGUCACUCAUGUUCUGCCCUGGAACUGGUAAAUGCUGGAACCCUAGGUAAAAAGGUUUCUCUAAUCAGUUUUUGUAUGCUGAUUUAACUUGCUUUUUUAUUACAUAAUGCUAAUUUGGGAGAGACAGUGUUUGCCACUGUGGUUCUUAUGUCUCUGGAGUCACCCCACCAACUCUGACUGACUUCCAGGUAGAACUGUGGGGAAGGGCCGACAGGACAUAAUUAUGGUCUUCUUAAAGCUAAGAAAUGUGUGGGCUAGAAAGUGCUAAGGAAAUGCAAAUGGUGAAAUGUUAUUUUUUUUCAGAAGAUGCGCUUGAUGCUCUAACAGGAUGAGGUAGUAGGUUGUGUGGUUUCAGGGUAGUGAUUUUGCCCCAAUCAGGAGAUAACUAUACAACCUACUGCCUUCCCUGAUAAGCAGCAUAACAACAUCAGUGUCUUAAUUCACAGAAAAACAAGAGCUAAAAUAUACUUCCGAGACCAGCAAAGUAAGUCUAGAUACAGUUGUUGUCAUCCUGUCCCUAAUAGCUCUAAAUUUCGUGUCUCACCUUAUUUCUAAUAACUGCCUGCAAAAUAAUUCUAUUUUUUAAAAUCUUUAUCGUGAAAAUUUGAAUUAAAGAAGUUUUGCUUAUUUC